rnacentral:rRNA from 1 species
CCUACGGGUGGCAGCAGUGAGGAAUAUUGGUCAAUGGACGAGAGUCUGAACCAGCCAAGUAGCGUGAAGGAUGACUGCCCUAUGGGUUGUAAACUUCUUUUAUAUGGGAAUAAAACGUUCCACGUGUGGGAUUUUGUAUGUACCAUAUGAAUAAGGAUCGGCUAACUCCGUGCCAGCAGCCGCGGUAAUACGGAGGAUCCGAGCGUUAUCCGGAUUUAUUGGGUUUAAAGGGAGCGUAGGUGGAUUGUUAAGUCAGUUGUGAAAGUUUGCGGCUCAACCGUAAAAUUGCAGUUGAAACUGGCAGUCUUGAGUACAGUAGAGGUGGGCGGAAUUCGUGGUGUCGCGGUGAAAUGCUUAGAUAUCACGAAUAACUCCGAUUGCGAAGGCAGUUCACUGGACUGCAACUGACACUGAGGCUCGAAAGUGUGGGUAUCAAACAGGAUUAGAUACCCUUGUAGUC